AUGGCACGACUUGGGGAAUGUUCCGAGGUAGCAUCCCCAGAAUUAUAUGAAAACCAGAUUGAAUCAAGGAUCGUUGGAUUUGGCUUUGAGAAAUCUCCUCUGUUACACAUGUAGAAUAAGAAAUCAGAAUCAAUAAUUGAAAAUUUUGAUACUGUUUUUUCCUUUCUUUUAAAAAAUUUGUUUCAUCA